AGCUGCAGUGGGCUGCUUUGGGUCAACGAGGGACGAUGUUUGGUGGCCAGAAGCUCCAUGGUUGGAAGGAGAGACCGAGCAGGGACGAUUCUGGCUGCACAGAAGGUGCCAAGUUGUUCUGAUAUGGGGAUCCCAAUGGGUCCUUCGUUUGGUAUAAAGACCGAGGUGCCACUUUAGUCAAGGGUUUAUAAUAUAUUUAUAGCAGUUUGGCUUCCUUUUCUAAGCUGAAGAUCCAUGUGUAAAAGAAAAGGAAUUUGCCAUGACUUUCAGAGGGGUGAAACUGUGGGCGAAGUCCAGGCUCUUACCACUGAAUCCCUCCUGGCAGGUGCAAAUGUAGCUGCUCGUCAUAUCCUUGCAGGUUCCACCAUUCAUACAAGGGCUCGACUCACAUUCGUUGUUGUUGAUGUCACAGUUCGUCCCACUCCAGCCCGCGUCACAAUCGCACUUGUAGCUGUGAUUCCAGGAGAGAGAAAUUACAAAGCAUAAAGUGA